rnacentral:rRNA from 1 species
AGCGAACGCUGGCGGCAGGCUUAACACAUGCAAGUCGAGCGGGCACUCCGGUGUCAGCGGCAGACGGGUGGGUAACACGUGGGAACGUACCCUCUGGUUCGGAAUAACGCUGGGAAACUAGCGCUAAUACCGGAUACGCCCUUUUGGGGAAAGGCUUGCUGCCGAAGGAUCGGCCCGCGUCUGAUUAGCUAGUUGGUGGGGUAAUGGCCUACCAAGGCGACGAUCAGUAGCUGGUCUGAGAGGAUGAUCAGCCACACUGGGACUGAGACACGGCCCAGACUCCUACGGGAGGCAGCAGUGGGGAAUAUUGGACAAGGGGCGCAAGCCUGAUCCAGCCAUGCCGCGUGAGUGAUGAAGGCCUUAGGGUUGUAAAGCUCUUUUGUCCGGGACGAUAAUGACGGUACCGGAAGAAUAAGCCCCGGCUAACUUCGUG